rnacentral:rRNA from 1 species
UACGUAGGGGGCAAGCGUUGUCCGGAAUCAUUGGGCGUAAAGGGUGCGUAGGCGGGUUUUUAAGUCAGGGGUGAAAUCCUGGAGCUCAACUCCAGAACUGCCUUUGAUACUGAAGAUCUUGAGUUCGGGAGAGGUGAGUGGAACUGCGAGUGUAGAGGUGAAAUUCGUAGAUAUUCGCAAGAACACCAGUGGCGAAGGCGGCUCACUGGCCCGAUACUGACGCUGAGGCACGAAAGCGUGGGGAGCAAACAGG